ACGGGAGGCAGCAGUGGGGAAUAUUGGGCAAUGGGGGAAACCCUGACCCAGCAACGCCGCGUGAAGGAAGAAGGCUUUCGGGUUGUAAACUUCUUUUAAGAGGGACGAACACAAUGACGGUACCUCUUGAAUAAGCCACGGCUAACUACGUGCCAGCAGCCGCGGUAAUACGUAGGUGGCAAGCGUUAUCCGGAUUUACUGGGUGUAAAGGGCGCGUAGGCGGAGUGGCAAGUCAGAUGUGAAAUCUAGGGGCUUAACCCCUAAACUGCAUUUGAAACUGUCACCCUUGAGUGUCGGAGAGGUAGAUGGAAUUCCUAGUGUAGCGGUGAAAUGCGUAGAUAUUAGGAGGAACACCAGUGGCGAAGGCGAUCUACUGGACGAUAACUGACGCUGAGGCGCGAAAGCGUGGGGAGCAAACAGGAUUAGAUACCCUGGUA
rnacentral:rRNA from 1 species